UACGGAAGGCAGCAGUGGGGAAUAUUGCACAAUGGGCGCAAGCCUGAUGCAGCCAUGCCGCGUGUAUGAAGAAGGCCUUCGGGUUGUAAAGUACUUUCAGUCGUGAGGAAGGUGUUAAGGUUAAUAACCUUAGCAAUUGACGUUAGCGACAGAAGAAGCACCGGCUAACUCCGUGCCAGCAGCCGCGGUAAUACGGAGGGUGCGAGCGUUAAUCGGAAUUACUGGGCGUAAAGGGCACGCAGGCGGUUAAUUAAGUUGGAUGUGAAAUCCCCGGGCUUAACCUGGGAAUGGCAUUCAAGACUGGUUUAGCUAGAGUCUUGUAGAGGGGGUAGAAUUCCAUGUGUAGCGGUGAAAUGCGUAGAGAUGUGGAGGAAAUAACCGGUGGCGAAAGGCGGGCCCCCUGGACAAAAGAACUGACGCUCAUGUGCG
rnacentral:rRNA from 1 species